rnacentral:rRNA from 1 species
CAAGUCGAGGGGCAGCAUGAACUUAGCUUGCUAAGUUUGAUGGCGACCGGCGCACGGGUGAGUAACACGUAUCCAACCUUCCGUUUACUCAGGGAUAGCCUUUCGAAAGAAAGAUUAAUACCCGAUGGCAUAGUUCUUCCGCAUGGUGGAACUAUUAAAGAAUUUCGGUCAUCGAUGGGGAUGCGUUCCAUUAGGUUGUUGGCGGGGUAACGGCCCACCAAGACUACGAUGGAUAGGGGUUCUGAGAGGAAGGUCCCCACAUUGGAACUGAGACACGGUCCAAACUCC